UGCUUUUUUGAAUUUGGUUGCCCACCCACAACAGAGUGGGCCAGUUGACCAAUCAUUGCAGACUGGGCUUUCAGGAAGGUGGGCCAAGAGCUCAGACAGGUGGAGGCGCUGCAGCAAUGGGCAGUAUGAGAAACAUAUUGUUUUUUAGACAUCAAAUACAAAUAUGAUGCUGAAAAGGAGGGG